rnacentral:rRNA from 1 species
GACGAACGCUGGCGGCGUGCUUAACACAUGCAAGUCGAACGAUGAAGCCGGAGCUUGCUCCGGUGGAUUAGUGGCGAACGGGUGAGUAACACGUGAGCAAUCUGCCCUUGACUCUGGGAUAACUGCGGGAAACUGUAGCUAAUACCGGAUACGACACCUUGGGGCAUCCCAGGGUGUGGAAAGAAUUUCGGUCAAGGAUGAGCUCGCGGCCUAUCAGCUAGUUGGUGAGGUAAUGGCUCACCAAGGCGAAGAGGGGUAGCCGGCCUGAGAGGGUGACCGGCCACACUGGAACUGGGACACGGUGCAGACUACUACGGGAGGCAACAGUGGGGAAUAUUGCACAAUGGGCGAAAGCCUGAUGCAGCAACGCCGCGUGAGGGAUGAAGGCCUUCGGGUUGUAAACCUCUUUUAGCAGGGAAGAAGCGAAAGUGACGGUACCUGCAGAAAAAGCACCGGCUAACUACGUGCCAGCAGCCGCCGUAA